rnacentral:rRNA from 1 species
UUGACCUCGAAUCAGGUAGGAAUACCCGCUGAACUUAAGCAUAUCAAUAAGCGGAGGAAAAGAAACCAACCGGGAUUACCUCAGUAACGGCGAGUGAAGCGGUAACAGCUCAAAUUUGAAAUCUGGCUCCUCCGGAGUCCGAGUUGUAAUUUGUAGAAGAUGCUUUGGGUUGUGGACUCGGCCUAAGUUCCUUGGAACAGGACGUCAUAGAGGGUGAGAAUCCCGUAUGCGGCCGAGGCCCGCGCCUAUGUAAAGCUCUUUCAACGAGUCGAGUUGUUUGGGAAUGCAGCUCAAAAUGGGUGGUAAAUUUCAUCUAAAGCUAAAUAUGGGCCAGAGACCGAUAGCGCACAAGUAGAGUGAUCGAAAGAUGAAAAGCACUUUGGAAAGAGAGUUAAACAGUACGUGAAAUUGUUGAAAGGGAAGCGCUUGCAACCAGACUUGGGUGCUGCCGAUCACCCGGAGUUCUCUCAGGUGCACUCGACAGCGCACAGGCCAGCAUCGGUUCGGGUGGCUGGAUAAAGGCCGUAGGAACGUGGCUCCCUUCGGGGAGUGUUAUAGCCUACGGUGCCAUGCAGCCCAGCCGGACCGAGGACCGCGCCUUCGGGCUAGGAUGCUGGCGUAAUGGUUGUAAGCGACCCGUCUUGAAACACGGACCAAGGAGUCUAACAUCUAUGCGAGUGUUUGGGUGGUAAACCCAUACGCGGAAUGAAAGUGAACGCAGGUG